rnacentral:SRP_RNA from 1 species
CUUUGGUCCCCUCGCAACGAUAUAUUGUGAACCCCGUCAGGCCCGGAAGGGAGCAGCGGUAACAAUAGACUCGUGUGCCGGGGUGUGGCUGGAGUAG